rnacentral:rRNA from 1 species
AGAGUUUGAUCMUGGCUCAGGACGAACGCUGGCGGCGUGCCUAACACAUGCAAGUCGAACGGAGAAUUUCAAUAAGCUUGCUUAGAGAAAUUCUUAGUGGCGGACGGGUGAGUAACGCGUGGGUAACCUACCCAUAAAGCCGGGACAACCCUUGGAAACGAGGGCUAAUACCGGAUAAUCUUGAGUUGUGGCAUCACGAUUCAAGGAAAGAUGGCCUCUGAAAAUGCUAUCGAUUAUGGAAGGACCCGCGUCUGAUUAGCUAGUUGGUGGGUAAAGGCCUACCAAGGCGACGAUCAGUAGCCGGCCUGAGAGGGUGAACGGCCACACUGGGACUGAGACACGGCCCAGACUCCUACGGGAGGCAGCAGUGGGGAAUCUUCCGCAAUGGACGAAAGUCUGACGGAGCAACGCCGCGUGUAUGAUGAAGGUCUUCGGAUUGUAAAGUACUGUCUUUGGGGAAGAACGGUUUUCUUGAGAAGAUUGAGGAGACAUGACGGUACCCAAGGAGGAAGCCCCGGCUAACUACGUGCCAGCCGCCGCGGUAAU